UAUGGCGGCCAUAGUGGUAGGGCAACUCCUGUUCCCAUCCGAACACAGAAGAUAAGUCUACCUACGUUGUUUACUGUACUGAAGUACGAGAGUCUUCGGGAAAUCUGCAUCGCUGCUAUGC
rfam:Methanococcoides burtonii DSM 6242, complete genome.